rnacentral:ncRNA from 1 species
GCAACUUGCAGUUGUUUAAAUAAAAUUGGUUCCUUAGGUUAUUUGCCCCUUACUCUGUAAGGGGCUUUUUUUUGACGAUUAU